UCAAGUAAUUAAGUGCAUGUGGUGGAUGCCUUGGCAGUCAGAGGCGAUGAAAGACGUGAUAGCCUGCGAAAAGCUCCGGGGAGGCGGCAAAUAUCCUUUGAUCCGGAGAUGUCUGAAUGGGGGAACCCACCUACUUUAAGGUAGGUAUUGCAACAUGAAUACAUAGUGUUGCAAGGCGAACGAGGGGAAGUGAAACAUCUCAGUACCCUUAGGAAAAGAAAUCAAUUGAGAUUCCCUCAGUAGCGGCGAGCGAACGGGGAUCAGCCCAUUAAGUUAUGUGUGUUUUAGUGGAACGCUCUGGGAAGUGCGAACGUAGAGGGUGAUAUUCCCGUACACGAAAGGGCACACAUAAUGAUGACGAGUAGGGCGAGGCACGUGAAACCUUGUCUGAAUAUGGGGGGACCAUCCUCCAAGGCUAAAUACUCCUGACUGACCGAUAGUGAACCAGUACCGUGAGGGAAGGCGAAAAGAACCCCUGUGAGGGGAGUGAAAUAGAUCCUGAAACCGCAUGCAUACAAGCAGUGGGAGCACCUUCGUGGUGUGACUGCGUACCUUUUGUAUAAUGGGUCAGCGACUUAUAUUCAGUAGCGAGGUUAACCGUAUAGGGGAGCCGUAGAGAAAUCGAGUCUUAAUAGGGCGUUUAGUUGCUGGGUAUAGACCCGAAACCAGGCGAUCUAUCCAUGAGCAGGUUGAAGGUUGGGUAACACUAACUGGAGGACCGAACCCACUGUCGUUGAAAAGCCAGGGGAUGACUUGUGGAUAGGGGUGAAAGGCUAAUCAAGCCUGGUGAUAGCUGGUUCUCCCCGAAAGCUAUUAGGUAGCGCCUCGGACGAAUACCAUAGGGGUAGAGCACUGUUUCGGCUAGGGGGUCAUCCCGACUUACCAAACCGAUGCAAACUCCGAAUACCUAUGAGUACUAUCCGGGAGACAGACUGCGGGUGCUAACGUCCGUAGUCAAGAGGAAAACAAUCCAGACCGCCAGCUAAGGCCCCAAAAUCAUAGUUAAGUGGGAAACGAUGUGGGAAGGCAUAGACAGCUAGGAGGUUGGCUUAGAAGCAGCCACCCUUUAAAGAAAGCGUAAUAGCUCACUAGUCGAGUCGGCUGCGCGGAAGAUGUAACGGGGCUAAAACUAUGUGCCGAAGCUGCGGAUGUAUACUUUGUAUACGUGGUAGGGGAGCGUUCUGUAAGCCGAUGAAGGUGUGUUGAGAAGCAUGCUGGAGGUAUCAGAAGUGCGAAUGCUGACGUGAGUAACGACAAAAACGGGUGAAAAACCCGUUUCGCCGAAAGACCAAGGGUUCCAGUCCAACGUUAAUCGGGGCUGGGUGAGUCGACCCCUAAGGCGAGGCCGAAAGGCGUAGUCGAUGGAAAAUGGUUAAUAUUCCAUUACUUCUGUGUAAUGCGAUGAGAGACGGAGAAGGCUAAAUCAGCCUGGCGUUGGUUGUCCAGGUGAAAGGAUGUAGGCAUGUAUCUUAGGCAAAUCCGGGGUACUCUAUGCUGAGAUCUGAUAGCAAGCUGUACUUGUACAGCGAAGUGGUUGAUGCCAUGCUUCCAGGAAAAGUCUCUAAGCUUCAGUUACACAGGAAUCGUACCGAAACCGACACAGGUGGUCAGGUCGAGUAGACCAAGGCGCUUGAGAGAACUCUGCUGAAGGAACUAGGCAAAAUGGUACCGUAACUUCGGGAGAAGGUACGCUGUUGUUGGUGAUGGAACUCGCUUCCUGAGCUGACGACAGCCGCAGAAACCAGGCCGCUGCAACUGUUUAUUAAAAACAUAGCACUCUGCAAACACGAAAGUGGACGUAUAGGGUGUGAUGCCUGCCCGGUGCUGGAAGGUUAAUUGAUGGGGUUAGCGUAAGCGAAGCUCUUGAUCGAAGCCCCAGUAAACGGCGGCCGUAACUAUAACGGUCCUAAGGUAGCGAAAUUCCUUGUCGGGUAAGUUCCGACCUGCACGAAUGGCAUAAUGAUGGCGGCGCUGUCUCCAGCAGAGGCUCAGUGAAAUCGAAAUCGCUGUGAAGAUGCAGUGUACCCGCGGCUAGACGGAAAGACCCCGUGAACCUUUACUGCAGCUUGACACUGAACUUUGACCUUACUUGUGUAGGAUAGGUGGGAGGCUUUGAAGCUGGAACGCUAGUUCCAGUGGAGCCGUCUUGAAAUACCACCCUGGUAAUGUUGAGGUUCUAACUCUGUCCCGUGAUCCGGGACGAGGACCGUGUCUGGUGGGUAG
rnacentral:rRNA from 1 species